rnacentral:tmRNA from 1 species
GAGGUUCAAAUAAGGAAUUUCCCGCCUAUAUUAGAAGGGCCGGUGGGUUCUCCCGCUCGGCUAUGGCGAUAAACGGACUGUGGAAUAAGCCAUUCGGACCCGGGGGCAGUACCCGGCGCCUCCACCAAAUUCUCCCUGUCGCGGCAGGGGCUCUGGGGGCGAAACAGGAUCGACGAGGGUGUAAAGACAGUUUUUUUGCCCGGCAUGGUUCCGCCGUCAUCGGGCCGUUUUAUAGUUGCCAACGACAACUAUGCUGAGGCGCGUCUCGCUGCUUAAUGCAGUGCGAUAGCUUCAAAUCAAGUCCCUGGCUUUAGCCGGUCAGGGCGGGGUUCGGGGGUACCUGGCAACAGAAACCCCCACU